rnacentral:rRNA from 1 species
GUAGGGAAUAUUGGGCAAUGGUCGGAAGACUGACCCAGCCAUGCCGCGUGCAGGAAGACGGCCCUCUGGGUUGUAAACUGCUUUUAUCUGGGAAGAAAAAGGCCAUGCGUGGCAAAUUGCCGGUACCAGAUGAAUAAGCACCGGCUAACUCCGUGCCAGCAGCCGCGGUAAUACGGAGGGUGCAAGCGUUGUCCGGAUUUAUUGGGUUUAAAGGGUGCGUAGGCGGCUGAUUAAGUCAGCGGUGAAAGACUCCGGCUUAACCGGAGCAGUGCCGUUGAUACUGGUUAGCCUGAGUGUUGGAGGGGUACAUGGAAUUGAUGGUGUAGCGGUGAAAUGCAUAGAUACCAUCAGGAACACCGAUAGCGAAGGCAUUGUACUGGCCAACAACUGACGCUGAUGCACGAAAGUGUGGGGAUCGAACAGGAUUAGAUACCCCGGUAGUCC